rnacentral:rRNA from 1 species
AGAGGGAAGCCAACCCGCGAGGGGGAGCCAAUCUCAACAAACCUGAUCUCAGUUCGGAUUGCAGGCUGCAACCCGCCUGCAUGAA